rnacentral:rRNA from 1 species
CUCGAUAAUCACGAACUCUUCACCCUCCCUAGAUCAAACAGCUUGUGUACUGCCGUCGUAAGCACACCUCUAAAAGUACGAGUAUGCAACUAUGAUUAAACUCAUGUACGUCAGGUCAAAGUGCAGCCAAUGAGAGGGCGAUGAUGGGUUACACCCUAAAUAAAGAUACGGAACACAACACUAAAAGUUGUACAAAGGUGGACUUGGAUGUAAUAAAGAUACAAAGUCAAAAUGAAGAUGAAUCUGAGACAUGCACACAUCGCCCGUCACUCUCGCCCAAAGGCGAGAUAAGUCGUAACAAAGUAGGUGUAACGGAAGUUGCACCUGU